UAGAAGGAAAUCAUAUCAAACAGGUGAGUUGUUUAGAUUAUCAAGAAUUGAGUAGGCUACAGUUGCUUGCCAAGUUAUGAAAUUUAUAUGUUUAGUUUCUGUUCUUUUGAUUAUACUUCUAUUGUGGAUUUGUACAAUUGGAAAACGAGAUAUCUUGAAGCAAAUAGCUUUGAAUGCUGUGCCAUACAUAUUUCAAUUUAAUAAAUAGCUGCAUGCAUUUGAGAUUUUGGAGGUCUUUGGUGUUCUGAUUCAAGAGCAUCUCAUGAGCUGUGUAGGCCCCAUUUGGCCCUCCAUUUG
rnacentral:misc_RNA from 1 species